UAGGAUUGUAUCUACUAUUUUUAAAGAAUUGAAUUAUACUUAACAACCACAAUGACUACAUCCUCAGAAGAUGUCCUGAUGCAAGUGAAUCAAGCGUUAUAAAAAAGGAGAUGGUACUUUGUACGUAAUGAAUGAGCGAAUAGCGUGGAUGCUUGAUAACAGGGAUACUGUGUCUUGCAAAAAAUAUCACCUGAGGGAAAAUCAAAAAUACAACUGCAGGUGGUAUUGCACGAUAGUACAUCAUCUACAUUUCAUUUUGUAAAUAAAAAUGGACAAGAAGCACAAAUUAAAGACCGUGACAAUGUAAAAGAGUUAUUGCAACAAUUACUGCCAAAAUUUAAACGAAAAGUUAAUAAGGAGUUGGAAGAAAAGAAUAGGUAAAAUUAUUAAAAUAUUUUAGUGAAUAUGUCAAUUAUGUAGUUUAUACGGAGUCAUCUCCAAUUUUAAUGUCCUUUACAUAUGUUAUCAAGGUCAUUAUCCUGAGUAAUGUUGUAAAGGUUAAGCUGCGCUCCGCAUUUAUUAAAAAUUUAUUAAUCCGGAAA